GUGGGGAAUAUUGGACAAUGGGCGCAAGCCUGAUCCAGCCAUGUCGCGUGAGUGAUGAAGGCCUUAGGGUUGUAAAGCUCUUUCGCCGACGAAGAUAAUGACGGUAGUCGGAGAAGAAGCCCCGGCUAACUUCGUGCCAGCAGCCGCGGUAAUACGAAGGGGGCUAGCGUUGUUCGGAAUCACUGGGCGUAAAGCGCACGUAGGCGGACAUUUAAGUCAGGGGUGAAAGCCUGGAGCUCAACUCCAGAACUGCCCUUGAUACUGGGUGUCUCGAGUCCGGAAGAGGUAAGUGGAACUGCGAGUGUAGAGGUGAAAUUCGUAGAUAUUCGCAAGAACACCAGUGGCGAAGGCGGCUUACUGGUCCGGUACUGACGCUGAGGUGCGAAAGCGUGGGGAGCAAACAGGAUUAGAAACCCCGGUAGUCC
rnacentral:rRNA from 1 species